AGAGUUUGAUCCUGGCUCAGGACGAACGCUGGCGGCGUGCUUAACACAUGCAAGUCGAACGAUGAUCUGGGAGCUUGCUUCUGGUGAUUAGUGGCGAACGGGUGAGUAACACGUGAGCAAUCUGCCCUUGACUCUGGGAUAACUGCGGGAAACUGUAGCUAAUACCGGAUAUGACCUAAGAAGGCAUCUUUUUGGGUGGAAAGAAUUUUGGUCAGGGAUGAGCUCGCGGCCUAUCAGCUUGUUGGUGAGGUAAUGGCUCACCAAGGCGACGACGGGUAGCCGGCCUGAGAGGGUGACCGGCCACACUGGGACUGAGACACGGCCCAGACUCCUACGGGAGGCAGCAGUGGGGAAUAUUGCACAAUGGGCGCAAGCCUGAUGCAGCAACGCCGCGUGAGGGACGACGGCCUUCGGGUUGUAAACCUCUUUUAGUUANGGAAGAAGCGACUGGGUUUUCCUUGGGAAUUGACGGUACCCUGCAGAAAAAGCACCGGCUAACUACGUGCCAACAGCCCCGGGUAAUACGUAGGGUGCAAGCGUUGUCCCGAAUUAUUGGGGCGUUAAGAACUCCUAAGCCGGGGUUGUCCCCGUCUUGCUNUUAAAUNCCNAAGCACAANCUCCGGGUCUGC
rnacentral:rRNA from 1 species